UCCUGCUGGCUGCCAACAGUUGCAGAUAAGCAGGGACAGACCUCAUUCGGGGUGCAUAAGGAGAUGUGUCCUAGAAGGAAGCCCAGAGGAGGGGGAUGGAAUCCUAGAGACCACUGAGACAGGAUAAGAAUUCUACUAAAGACUUGAAUGUCAGUGAAAAUGCUAAUGACCCACCUGAGAAAGGGGAGGAGGAAGCAAUUCCUCAGGCAGAGACGUACAUGAACUGAGAACCUUUACUGAGGGAGAUACUGGACAAAACACUAAAAUAGAAGAAAGACCAAUACCUGAAGACAUACUAUGGUUCAGGAAGAAGUUGAAGAACACAAUAAAUAUUAAACAAACCAGUCUGUCUAAACAGAUACCGUGGUAUGAUGAACAUACUGGAAACAUCUCCCUGUCAUUAAAUUGCUGGUGCUGUUAAGUCUGACAAUACACAGUUUAUUGGUUAGGACAAAGAAUUUGGUACUGAUUUGGUACUAAAUCCUUUAAAAAUGUGUAAGAUGCAUGAUUUUUAGAAAAAACUUUUGAACAUGCUGGGAGUAGUAACAAGGAAGUCCUAUAAGAAUACCACUUCUCAGCUAAUACCUGUAAACGGGCUUAGAACUUGGCACAGCAGAAAAAGCAUAACACACCUUGACUGCUGUGUGGAAGGGGAAACUGAGGCACAUUGCCUCCUGGCAUUGGUGGCUAAAUGCCAAGACACCUGCACUCUAAAGGCUAUUGAUAUCUGUAUUAUGUUAACAUUGCUACACA